rnacentral:rRNA from 1 species
UACGAAGGGGGCUAGCGUUGCUCGGAAUUACUGGGCGUAAAGCGCACGUAGGCGGCUUUCUAAGUCGGGGGUGAAAUCCUGGAGCUCAACUCCAGAACUGCCUUCGAUACUGGAAAGCUCGAGUCCGGGAGAGGAGAGUGGAAUUCCCGGUGUAGCGGUGAAAUGCGCAGAUAUCGGGAAGAACACCCGUGGCGAAGGCGGCUCUCUGGAACGCAACUGACGCUGAGACGCGAAAGCGUGGGGAGCAAACAGG